rnacentral:rRNA from 1 species
GACGAACGCUGGCGGCGUGCUUAACACAUGCAAGUCGAACGGAAAGGCCCUGCUUUUGUGGGGUGCUCGAGUGGCGAACGGGUGAGUAACACGUGAGUAACCUGCCCUUGACUUUGGGAUAACUUCAGGAAACUGGGGCUAAUACCGGAUAGGAGCUCCUGCUGCAUGGUGGGGGUUGGAAAGUUUCGGCGGUUGGGGAUGGACUCGCGGCUUAUCAGCUUGUUGGUGGGGUAGUGGCUUACCAAGGCUUUGACGGGUAGCCGGCCUGAGAGGGUGACCGGCCACAUUGGGACAGAGAUACGGCCCAGACUCCUACGGGAGGCAGCAGUGGGGAAUAUUGCACAAUGGGCGGAAGCCUGAUGCAGCAACGCCGCGUGCGGGAUGACGGCCUUCGGGCUGUAAACCGCUUUCGCCUGUGACGAAGCGUGAGUGACGGUAAUGGGUAAAGAAGCACCGGCUAACUACGUG